rnacentral:rRNA from 1 species
UACGUAGGGCGCAAGCGUUGUCCGGAAUUAUUGGGCGUAAAGAGCUCGUAGGUGGUUUGUCGCGUUGUUCGUGAAAACUCACAGCUUAACUGUGGGCGUGCGGGCGAUACGGGCAGACUAGAGUACUGCAGGGGAGACUGGAAUUCCUGGUGUAGCGGUGGAAUGCGCAGAUAUCAGGAGGAACACCGGUGGCGAAGGCGGGUCUCUGGGCAGUAACUGACGCUGAGGAGCGAAAGCGUGGGGAGCGAACAGG